AGAGGAUGGAUCCAAAGGGAUCGCAUUGAUCCUAAGUAAGAUGAAUUCUCCUCAUUCUUUUCUUAAUCAUUCGCAAAAAAAAAAGUCCCAAAAAUUUGCUUGGUUUUGGAUCAUGCUAUCCCUUUGGAUUCUUCCUU
rfam:Eutrema salsugineum unplaced genomic scaffold scaffold_10, whole genome shotgun sequence.